rnacentral:lncRNA from 1 species
CUAGAAACAGCUUUUUUCUAAGCAAAAUUGAGUUCCUCAGGGCCCCUUCCCCUGCCCCCUCAUUCAAAUAUCCAAGAAAAGAGAACACCUUGAUUGUGACUGUAGCAACUUACACUUCCUCCUGGUAACCCUUUCUAAUGAGUGGGGUGUGGUACAGGAGGUCUCUUUUCCAGCUUGGUUCAUGGGUUCUAAAUUCCAUGCUUGUACUACCUAUUCAGCAAGGAUGCCUUGGCAUUUACCUGACACAAACUGAAGAAAUUCACAUCAUCAGUCAUCUCCUCCAGCAUCACCUUGGGUUUAAUUUCAGGCUCAUCCAUCACUUAGUGUUUUUUUCAUUGCUUGAUUUUUGAUGUGAUCAGGAAGGAUCUUAUUCAUUCCUUCCCUUAGGCAGCUGUUUCCAUGGCUUUCACCUUAUGACCUCCUUAUUCUAGGACUCGGAUGGCAUCCUGACAUUAUCAACAUCCAAUGACCAAGUAAAUUUUGCUGUUCUUUAAUACCUUUUGGCCCCUCUUUUAUUUUUGCAGUCAUGCCUUUGUCUUAUUGUCAUUCAAUUUAUGUUUUUAUGUUACAAUCACAACUUUGGAGGUGAAAAUGACAUUAAAGCUCAGAGUAAAAAUCAACAGGUUUCCACACCUCAUCUCACCAGUCACAAAGAGAAGUCAGAGAUCAGAUGACACAUUUCAUUUAAUAAACAUGUUAUACCUACCAAAAGAAGAGAAGAGAAGAAAAGAGAAGAAAAGAAAAGAAAGAAAAGAAGAAAAGAAAAGAAAAGUAAAGAAAAGAAAAGAAAAGAAAAGAAAAGAGGAAAGAAAAUUCCUCCUUAAAGAAUCCUGAAAAAAAAAAUCAAUGUGCAGUCUUGGUUAAGUUUUCUUGAUUAUUUGUCUUGAAAGAAAUUAUGACAGAUUAUGCCAAUUAACUGGAUAUAAAAUACAAUUUCUGACAUGUUUUUCAAUUCUAGAAUUAUUUUUUCUCCACCCAAAAUUGUUACUGUCUAAAGAAUUAAUGAAAAUA